rnacentral:rRNA from 1 species
AGGGUGCUCAGCGCCCGACCUCCACCCUUUGUUGUUAAAACUACCUUGUUGCUUUGGCGGGACCGCUCGGUCUCGAGCCGCUGGGGAUUCGUCCCAGGCGAGCGCCCGCCAGAGUUAAACCAAACUCUUGUUAUUUAACCGGUCGUCUGAGUUAAAAUUUUGAAUAAAUCAAAACUUUCAACAACGGAUCUCUUGGUUCUCGCAUCGAUGAAGAACGCAGC